AUUGAACGCUGGCGGCAGGCCUAACACAUGCAAGUCGAACGCGUGGCGGACGGGUGAGUAAGGUCUGGGAAACUGCCUGAUGGAGGGGGAUAACUACUGGAAAAGGUAGCUAAUACCGCAUACCAUCAGAUGUGCCCAGAUGGGAUUAGCUAGUUGGUGGGGUAACGGCUCCUCAAGACGACGAUCCCUAUCUGGUCUGAGAGGAUGACCAGCCACACGGGAACUGAGACACGGUCCAGCCUCCUACGGUAGGCAGCAGUGGGUAAUAUUGCACAAUGGGCGAAAGUCUGAUGCAGCAAUGCCGCGUGUAUGAAGAAGGCCUUCGGGUUGUAAAGUUCUUUCAGCGGGGAGGCGUUACCCGCAGAAGAAGCACCGGCUAACUCCGUGCCAGCAGCCGCGGUAAUUC
rnacentral:rRNA from 1 species